rnacentral:tRNA from 2 species
GGGGCUGUAGCUCAGAUGGGAGAGCGCUGCGUUCGCAAUGCAGAGGUCAGGGGUUCGAUCCCCCUCAGCUCCACCA